AGGAAUAUUGGGCUAUGCCCGCAAGGGUGACCCAGCAACGCCGCGUGGAGGAUGAAUGUCGUAAGAUUGUAAACUCCUGUUAGAGGGGAAGAAUAGUACCGGUUGGACCGGUAUAUGACUGUACCCUCAGAGAAAGCCCCGGCUAACUACGUGCCAGCAGCCGCGGUAAUACGUAGGGGGCAAGCGUUGUCCGGAUUUACUGGGUGUAAAGGGCGCGCAGGCGGGAUAAAAAGUCAGUGGUGAAAUCCUACAGCUUAACUGUAGAACUGCCUUGGAUCAUUUUAUUCUUGAGUUCGGGAGAGAGAGACGGAAUUCCAGGUG
rnacentral:rRNA from 1 species